rnacentral:rRNA from 1 species
UACGAAGGGGGCUAGCGUUGCUCGGAAUCACUGGGCGUAAAGCGCACGUAGGCGGAUUGCUAAGUCAGGGGUGAAAUCCUGGAGCUCAACUCCAGAGCUGCCUUUGAUACUGGUGAUCUUGAGUCCGAGAGAGGUGAGUGGAACUGCGAGUGUAGAGGUGAAAUUCGUAGAUAUUCGCAAGAACACCAGUGGCGAAGGCGGCUCACUGGCCCGGUACUGACGCUGAGGUGCGAAAGCGUGGGGAGCAAACAGG